AUCCUUUUGUAGUUCACAAGUGUGAUGACUGGGUGUUCACGCUCUCGUGUGAGAUGUGCCUCCCCCAAGCCUUGUUAUGGCUUUGACACAUUACCUGCCUGAUG